UUCCGGUUGAUCCUGCCGGAGGCCAUUGCUAUCGGAGUCCGAUUUAGCCAUGCUAGUCGUGCGAGUUCAGACUCGCGGCACCGAGCUCAGUAACACGUGGCCAAACUACCCUACAGAGACGGAUACCCUCGGGAAACUGAGGUUAACCCGUCAUACCGAUCUCAGGCUUGAAUCGCAGAGAUCACAAAACGCCCCGGCGCUGUAGGAUGUGGCUGCGGUUGAUUAGGUAGACGGUGGGGUAACGGCCCACCGUGCCCAUAAUCAGUACAGGUUGUGAGAGCAAGAACCUGGAGACGGAAUCUGAGACAAGAUUCCGGGCCCUACGGGGCGCAGCAGGCGCGAAACCUUUACACUGCACGCACGUGCGAUAAGGGGACUCCGAGUGCGAGGGCAUAUCGUCCUCGCUUUCGUGUACCGUAGGGUGGUACACCAACAAGGGCUGGGCAAGACCGGUGCCAGCCGCCGCGGUAAUACCGGCAGCCCGAGUGAUGGCCGAUCUUAUUGGGCCUAAAGCGUUCGUAGCCGGCCGAGCAAGUCCAUCGGGAAAUCCGCCAGCCCAACUGGCGGGCGUCCGGUGGAAACUGCACAGCUCGGGACCGGAAGACCCGAAGGGUACGUCUUGGGUAGGAGUGAAAUCCCGUAAUCCUGGACGGACCACCGAUGGCGAAAGCACUUCGGGAAGACGGAUCCGACGGUGAGGAACGAAAGCCAGGGUCUCGAACCGGAUUAGAUACCCCGGUAGUC
rnacentral:rRNA from 1 species